rnacentral:lncRNA from 1 species
UAUUUUCAAAAUUUGAGGAACAAGAAGAAUUCCGGCUGUUUUGUUUCUAUUUGUAGAGCUUUGAGGGCAUAUAAAGAUAGAUAUUGGGUUUCAAAAGUUAGAACUUCUUUUGAACUGGGUUUUAGGAUAUAUAAAGUGAGAGAUUGGGGUUUUAAUUUUCUCUGGUUUGUGAUGAAUAACCCAUAUUCAGGGAAGAAGAAGAAACACGGGUACUUUUCUUUUAAUUAACUGUGUUUGCUAUUUUUUAUUUGUCCUUUAUAUUUAAUUAAAAGGUUUAAGUUUGAUUUUAAAUUCCUUUUUUUUGUUACACAUGCAUUGAUAUGCCACGUCAUAUUUCUCUCUCUUGUGUGGAAUUUUAUAUGGCAAGUGUGUUUAAAGUCAACUUGAAUGGAAUUUGUGACGUUUUGAAAAAAAAAUCAGUUCAGUGAGUCGAUUGUAAAAAAUUUCAGUCCAGUGAUGCAUUUGUAAACCGAGGUCGAGUAGAGUGGGGAAAAAUAGAUUUAACUCUUUUGGAAAUGUGACAAUUGUAGUUGUAUAUGAAAGAGAAAGUAUUACAAGUCAGCUAGAGACCAACAAGUAUUAAUGGUGGUUGUAUUUGAAAGAAAAGAAAUUCAAGAACUCAAGGCAUGCUAAAGAUAAUACUGAGACAAGUUUUUGCAAUGGAGAAGUUGCACUAAAUCAAAAUCUGAAGUUGUUGGUGUAACUUUUGAUACUGGGGAAUAUGAGAAGGUAAAAGUUUCAAAGAAUUGCUAUGGGAAGAUUCAACUAAACAUGUUCCUGAGUUUUGUUUUUGACACUAGAAAGGUAGUGAGAGCUAUCAAGACCGGAAAGCUGAAAAUCAAGAAUAUCCACGAGGACAUGGUUGCUUUUAAGGAGGGAAUGUCAGGUAAAGGAUAUUUUGGCCAACAAAGGAAUAAUUAGUAUAUUUUAGUAGGUAGUACAUUUUAAGUGACCGUGUAAGCACAUGGGGUAGUUUGUUAUAUUUGAGUGAAGAAUAAGAAAAGUAGUUUAGGUUUGUAGCUUUAUUUUUCAGUAUUCUCUCUAUAAUAGUUGUAUCUGAGAAUUAUUCUGAGUUUUCUAUCCUUCCUCCCAAAAUUCGCUCUAGCUAUCUGUGUUUAGAUCUCUAUUUCUGGUCAGAAUGCUAGCUGGGCCUGACAGCGUAUGUGUUGCAUUUUGUUUUAAAUAUUUUUUUUCAUCACAUUGGGAAAAAUCAAUCCAAGUAGAGACAUCAUAACAUCCACGGUUCCUAUCUAGUUUUGAACAUAUGCAGGUCCAUAUGUUUGGGCUAUUAGUUUUCGACAUAAUAAAUUGUCACUCGUGAAAGUGCUCGACAUAUCAUAAUUCUGUAGUCUUUUGCAGGCUGGGACAGUCUUAAAUUCCAAGGAUGCCAAGAAAGCCAUAAAUGCUGGUGCGAAAUUUCUCAUGAGUCCUACAAUCGUAAUGG